UCAAGCGACUAAGCGCAUACGGCGGAUGCCUUGGCGGUCAGAGGCGAUGAAGGACGUGGCAGCCUGCGAAAAGUGUGGGGGAGCUGGCAACAAGCAUUGAUCCCGCAAUGUCCGAAUGGGGAAACCCACCCGCAAGGGUAUCGUGCACUGAAUACAUAGGUGUACGAGGCGAACCCGGGGAACUGAAAUAUCUAAGUACCCGGAGGAAAAGAAAUCAACCGAGAUUCCCUGAGUAGUGACGAGCGAACGGGGAACAGCCCAAAAGUCGAUUGUGUUUUAGCCGAACGGUCUGGAAAGUCCGGCCACAGCAGGUGAUAGCCCUGUAGGCGAAAGGGCACAUUCGAUGAAAUUGAGUAGGGCGGGGCACGAGAAACCCUGUCUGAACAUGGGGGGACCAUCCUCCAAGGCUAAAUACUCCUGACCGACCGAUAGUGAACCAGUACCGUGAGGGAAAGGCGAAAAGAACCCCGGAGAGGGGAGUGAAAUAGACCCUGAAACCGUAUGCGUACAAGCAGUGGGAGCCCCUUCGUGGGGUGACCGCGUACCUUUUGUAUAAUGGGUCAGCGACUUACAUUACGUGGCGAGCUUAACCGUAUAGGGGAGGCGAAGGGAAACCGAGUCUGAAUAGGGCGAAUAGUCGCGUGGUGUAGACCCGAAACCGAGUGAUCUAUCCAUGGCCAGGUUGAAGGUGCGGUAACACGCACUGGAGGACCGAACCCACGACCGUUGAAAAGUUCGGGGAUGAGUUGUGGAUAGGAGUGAAAGGCUAAUCAAACUCGGAGAUAGCUGGUUCUCCUCGAAAGCUAUUUAGGUAGCGCCUCGUGUAUCACUGCCGGGGGUAGAGCACUGUUAUGGCUAGCGGGUCAUCGAGACUUAGUAAACCAUGGCAAACUCCGAAUACCGGCAAGUGUCAGCACGGGAGACACACGGCGGGUGCUAACGUCCGUCGUGAAAAGGGAAACAACCCAGACCCACAGCUAAGGUCCCAAAUUUUCUGCUAAGUGGAAAACCAUGUGGAAAGGCACAGACAGCCAGGAGGUUGGCUUAGAAGCAGCCAUCCUUUAAAGAAAGCGUAAUAGCUCACUGGUCGAGUCGGUCUGCGGGGAAGAUUUAACGGGGCUAAGCAUGGAACCGAAGCUUGGGGUGCAUACUUUGUAUGCGCGGUAGAGGAGCGUUCCGUAAGCCUGCGAAGGUGGAUCGAGAAGUCUGCUGGAGGUAUCGGAAGUGCGAAUGCUGACAUGAGUAACGAUAAUGCGGGUGAAAAGCCCGCACGCCGAAAGCCCAAGGUUUCCUUGCGCAACGUUAAUCGGCGCAGGGUGAGUCGGCCCCUAAGGCGAGGCAGAAAUGCGUAGUCGAUGGGAAGCUGGUUAAUAUUCCAGCACCUCGCAUACGUGCGAUGGAGGGACGGAGAAGGUUAGGCAGGCCGGGCGUUGGUUGUCCCGGUGAGAGAGUUGAGGCGGUCCCCUUAGGCAAAUCCGGGGGGGCAACGUUGAGACUAAGGACGAGCCCACUAGGGCGAAGCUGCUGAUAUCACGCUUCCAGGAAAAGCUCCUAAGCUUCAGCUUGCGCAGACCGUACCGUAAACCGACACAGGUGGGUAGGAUGAGAAUUCUCAGGCGCUUGAGAGAACUCGGGUGAAGGAACUAGGCAAAAUGGCACCGUAACUUCGGGAGAAGGUGCGCCCCUUUUGGUUAAUAGCUGAGGGGGGCCUCAGAAACCAGGCCGCUGCGACUGUUUAUCAAAAACACAGCACUCUGCAAACACGAAAGUGGACGUAUAGGGUGUGACGCCUGCCCGGUGCCGGAAGGUUAAUUGAUGGGGUCAGCCGCAAGGCGAAGCUCUUGAUCGAAGCCCCGGUAAACGGCGGCCGUAACUAUAACGGUCCUAAGGUAGCGAAAUUCCUUGUCGGGUAAGUUCCGACCUGCACGAAUGGCGUAAUGAUGGCGGCGCUGUCUCCACCCGAGACUCAGUGAAAUUGAAAUCGCUGUGAAGAU
rnacentral:rRNA from 1 species